UGCCCAGCAACUCCUAUCCCUACCUCCUCGCGGUACUGGCCGGGGUACGAGUAACCUUAGGGAAGAUCUGGUAACCAAUCCCGGUGGGAACUUUGGUCGUAUGCUGACAAGGAAGG
rnacentral:ribozyme from 1 species